rnacentral:tRNA from 1 species
GCCUGGGUGGCUCAGUCGGUUGAGUGUCUGACUUCAGCUCAGGUCACGAUCACGCCGUGAGUUCGAGCCCCACAUCCAGCU